rnacentral:rRNA from 1 species
UACGUAGGUGGCAAGCGUUGUCCGGAUUUACUGGGCGUAAAGAGCGCGCAGGCGGUCGUUCAAGUCGCGUGUGAAAGCCCCCGGCUCAACUGGGGAGGGUCACGCGAUACUGGUCGACUCGAAGGCAGGAGAGGGUAGUGGAAUUCCCGGUGUAGUGGUGAAAUGCGUGGAUAUCGGGAGGAACACCAGUGGCGAAGGCGACUACCUGGCCUGUUUCUUGACGCUGAGGCGCGAAAGCUAGGGGAGCAAACAGG